GAUUGGAGCUUAACUCUGUAGGACGUUGGUCCUCCAGGAGCAGGACCAGACACCCCUGCUGUAGAAUUGAGCUGAUUUUGUAUCUUUAGCUAACCAAAUACUCAUGGAGAAGAGCACAUUUUCUUUAUAGAGAUAUAAUACAUUUAUAGCAAGAUCUUUCUGCUUUGUUCCUUAGUGGACAGAAGGGCUUAGUGAUUUCAGCCUGGACACAAAUUAAACAAUUAACCAGAGAUUCACAACCAUCGGGGGCUGCUUUGUCUUCCUGUUUGCCAUUUUGUCCUAUUGGGAAACAAACAAGUAGGAGAAAGAUCCAAUUACCUUCUUCAAGAGGAGAGGCAAUUCUCUUUAACGUGAUUGUCUCAGAUCUGCCACAUUAGGUUCCUGCACUUAUACAAAAGCGAUACAAGACAACACAUCUGAUACAGGAAUGGAAAUCCAACCCUUGUCAUGAUAAAACAAUGCAGUUUUGCGAUGGAGAUUUGUUCAGCCAGACGGCGCCAUGAUGGGUGUGCUGGAGUGUGAUAAUUCAAGAGCUGCAGGGGAGGACUGUGAUUUAUGGGAUAUCCUUUAUGCGUUACAAAAUGUGUUCUUUCGAAAGCCCACCCCCAACAAUUCAUAUGAGUCAUUUCCCUAAUUGAUAGUUGCCUGGAAACUCUAUGAGAGGGGCUGAAAAAGACUAAUAAUGUACAAAAUAUAGUGUGUGUUGAUCAAGACCAGUAAAACGAAAUGUUACAGUUUCAUCGACUUGCUUGAGACUAUUGAUUUUGAAUUGAUAUGGGUUUACACACUACACUGUGCCUGCGAGGUCACUCAUAAUGAAGUAUGGAUUAACAAUGAUGUUUUAAAACAAUGCCAUAUCUUUUGUACAGAUAUCAGGUGUGAUGUCACCGCACCUAAUGCGUUUCAAAUGACGCAAAUGUACAGCGCUACAUCCAGAUUAUUAUAGGCUCUAUUUGAGUGCUGUCUCAAUUCCCAUCAUAAAAGCUAUUGAUUACUCCCUACUUACACUCUCACGCUUGUGCUCAGCCACUGGGAUAUUGGCAUUAAUUUCUCCAAGUCAGUGCCUUCAGUGCUGGUCAUUUGAGGUCUUUCUGAGGUACUGUGGAUGCCUUUUGGUGCUCUUUGAUGUACUUUUUAGGACAUAAAUGGAAAGGUACUGUAGACAAUAAAAAUGGCUAUAUUUAAAUUUGCCCUUGGUUUACGAUUGAUAGUUGUCUCAUAUAAAUCUUAUACUGUAACACUGAAAUUACACUCAUCAUCUUUAAAAUGCACGUCAGUUAACAUAAUAUCUCAGUCUGUUUAUUAUAAACAAGACAAGCCCAGUGAGAGGGCUUGUUUUAUAGCGGCCAAGAACGUCCUGCCCGUGCCAGAGCCACCCCUCCUCGCUCCCGCUGCAAGCUGUUUGCAGGAUGCAGGAUCUGGAGAUUUCAACGAUUAUGAAAACACCAUGCCACAUUCCAUUAAAAUCCUUUAAAGCAGUGCGCUGUCACGCUUCCUACAAU
ensembl:lncRNA